rnacentral:rRNA from 1 species
UACGUAGGGGGCUAGCGUUGUCCGGAAUCAUUGGGCGUAAAGCGCGCGUAGGCGGCCCGGUAAGUCCGUUGUGAAAGUCAAAGGCUCAACCUUUGAACGCCGAUGGAUACUGCCGGGCUAGAGUCCGGAAGAGGCGAGUGGAAUUCCUGGUGUAGCGGUGGAAUGCGCAGAUAUCAGGAGGAACACCGAUAGCGAAGGCAGCUCGCUGGGACGGUACUGACGCUGAGGCGCGAAAGCGUGGGAGCGAACAGG